rnacentral:rRNA from 1 species
AGCAGCCGCGGUAAUUCCAGCUCCAAUAGCGUAUAUUAAAGUUGUUGCAGUUAAAAAGCUCGUAGUUGAAUUUCGAGACCGGUUUAUUGGUCGUGCUUUUGUACGUACUGGUAUUAUUGGUUUCUCCUUUCUGACGAAUCUUAAUGCCAUUAAUUUGGUGUUUUGGGGAAUCAGGACUGUUACUUUGAAAAAAUUAGAGUGUUUAAAGCAGGCUCACGCUUGAAUACAUUAGCAUGGAAUAACGGAAUAGGACGUUUGAUUCUAUUUUGUUGGUUUCUAGGAUCGACGUAAUGAUUAAUAGGGAUAGUUGGGGGCAUUAGUAUUCAAUUGUCAGAGGUGAAAUUCUUGGAUUUAUUGAAGACUAACUACUGCGAAAGCAUUUGCCAAGGAUGUUUUCAUUAAUCAAGAACGAAAGUUAGGGGAUCGAAGACGAUCAGAUACCGUCGUAGUCUUAACCAUAAACUAUAGCCGACUAGGGAUCGGAUGAUGUUAAUUU